AACGAGUGCAGUGCUGACUCUAUAUAACGUGAGCGCAUGACUACUGUGAUGUCAGCUAAUAACGGCAUGGGGAUACUCUGGAAGUUGUCCUGACAUCUCUACAACCUAAUUCUACUUAAUAUUGUUAUUCCAUUUACUUGCAAGCUAGGAGAUUUAUUAUUUAAGGUGGUGGGAGUGUUCCUCUCAGGUUAUUUUUAUAUUUUUAUACCACCAAUUAUUCGAACUUGGAUUUUAGCUGUCAGUAUAAGUGCGGUUGUCCUCUCCUUUGCUAUUGGAAUUGUUGUGGGAAUAUUGUUCACUCGUUUUUGUAGGAUAUGCGUAAAAGGAAUUCAACAAAGAAAUCGUGGCACUCUAUACUGCUGGUCAUUCUUCUUAUAAUCGUGUUUGGCCUUGGAAUUGGUAUUCUUGUAGGCUACUGCUGCAUGUGUGAAGAACAAGAAAGGGGAGAGGGUAGGAAAACUCUUAUUUACGCCUGGUACACAAGCUUCCGUAUGACGCUAUAUAGAAACGCAGAAGAAAAAGUCAAAAGGAUCAGUCAAAGAUGAAGAUCCAAAGGGGUGAGAGUGAGUCUUGAGACCAAUGCAUGAUUUUAUAGUCUUAAAGACAUUUUUUCGUACUCUUCCCACCAAAUUGUGACCAUUUUUCUGUAAGAACUGCAGAUUCUCGGUAUUCCUGUCGGGGGGCUUAUAGUGCAUAUAUUUUUUGUGUAGAAUACGUGUGCAUGUGCAGUGUUUGAAUAGCGCAUAUAGAGAGGCCAUUGUUUCCAAUCAGAGACUUCUGUGAAUUAGAUGUGCGCUGCAGAGCAUUAUCGUUAUUCAAUACCAUGAAUACCUUUACAAACGUUAAUCAGCUUCAUCGAUAAAAAAACAACAUCCACGUGCUUGAAAGUAUAGUUCAAAUUUU